rnacentral:rRNA from 1 species
GUCCACGCCGUAAACGGUGGGCACUAGGUGUGGGGGACUUCCACGUUCUCCGUGCCGAAGCUAACGCAUUAAGUGCCCCGCCUGGGGAGUACGGCCGCAAGGCUAAAACUCAAAGGAAUUGACGGGGGCCCGCACAAGCGGCGGAGCAUGUUCAUUAAUUCGAUGCAACGCGAAGAACCUUACCUAGGUUUGACAUAUACCGGAAACACCUGGAGACAGGUGCCCCGCAAGGUCGGUAUACAGGUGGUGCAUGGCUGUCGU